rnacentral:rRNA from 1 species
CGUGCUUAACACAUGCAAGUCGAACGGAAAGGCUCCUUGCUUGCAAGGGGUACUCGAGUGGCGAACGGGUGAGUAACACGUGGGUGAUCUGCCUUGCACUUCGGGAUAAGCCUGGGAAACUGGGUCUAAUACCGGAUAGGACCAUGCUUUAGUGUGUGUGGUGGAAAGUUUUUCGGGGCAAGAUGAGCCCGCGGCCUAUCAGCUUGKUGGUGGGGUAAUGGCCUACCAAGGCGACGACGGGUAGCCSGCCUGAGAGGGUGUACGGCCACAUUGGGACUGAGACAMGGCCCARACUCCUACGGGAGGCAGCAGKGGGGAAUAUUGCACAAUGGGCGCAAGCCUGAUGCAGCGACSCCSCGUGGGGGAUGACGGCCUUCGGGUUGUAAACUCCUUUCGCUAGGGAAGAAGCCACUUUGKGGUGACGGUACCUGGAUAAGAAGCAMCGGCUAACUACGUGCCAGCAGCCGCGGUAAUACGUAGGGUGCSAGCGUUGUCCGGAAUUACUGGGCGUAAAGAGCUCGUAGGUGGUUUGUCGCGUCGUCUGUGAAAUCCCGGGGCUUAACUUCGGGCGUGCAGGCGAUACGGGCAUAACUWGAGUGCUGUAGGGGAGACUGGAAUUCCUGGUGUAGCGGUGAAAUGCGCAGAUAUCAGGAGGAACACCGAUGGCGAAGGCAGGUCUCUGGGCAGUUACUGACGCUGAGGA